GGGGCUGUGGCUCAGUGGCAGAGUAUUUGCUUUGUAUGCAGAAGGUCCCAGGUUCGAUCCCCAGCAUCUCCA